rnacentral:rRNA from 1 species
GAGUUUGAUCAUGGCUCAGGAUGAACGCUAGCGAUAGGCCUAACACAUGCAAGUCGAGGGGCAGCACAUGAGUAGCAAUACGAUGGUGGCGACCGGCGCACGGGUGAGUAACACGUAUGCAACCUACCUCUAACAGGGGGAUAACCCGUUGAAAGACGGACUAAUACCCCAUAAUACAGGGGCUCCGCAUGGAGAUAUUUGUUAAAGAUUUUAUCGGUUAGAGAUGGGCAUGCGUUCCAUUAGCUAGUUGGUGAGGUAACGGCUCACCAAGGCGACGAUGGAUAGGGGAACUGAGAGGUUUAUCCCCCACACUGGAACUGAGACACGGUCCAGACUCCUACGGGAGGCAGCAGUGAGGAAUAUUGGUCAAUGGAGGCAACUCUGAACCAGCCAAGUCGCGUGAAGGAUGAAGGUCUUAUGGAUUGUAAACUUCUUUUGCAGGGGAAUAAAUAGCGGUACGUGUACCGUUUUGCAUGUACCCUGCGAAUAAGGAUCGGCUAACUCCGUGCCAGCAGCCGCGGUAAUACGGAGGAUCCGAGCGUUAUCCGGAUUUAUUGGGUUUAAAGGGUGCGCAGGCGGGAGAUUAAGUCGGCGGUGAAAUUUUGCAGCUCAACUGUAAAAGUGCCUUCGAUACUGGUUUCCUUGAGUGUGGAUGAAGUAGGCGGAAUUUGUGGUGUAGCGGUGAAAUGCUUAGAUAUCACGAGGAACUCCGAUUGCGCAGGCAGCUUACUAAACCACUACUGACGCUCAGGCACGAAGGCGUGGGGAUCAAACAGGAUUAGAUACCCUGGUAGUCCACGCAGUAAACGAUGAUUACUGGCUGUUUGCGAUACAAUGUAAGCGGCUGAGCGAAAGCGUUAAGUAAUCCACCUGGGGAGUACGUUCGCAAGAAUGAAACUCAAAGGAAUUGACGGGGGCCCGCACAAGCGGAGGAACAUGUGGUUUAAUUCGAUGCAAACCGAAGAACCUUACCUAGGUUUGACAUGUACGUGGUACGGAUCUGAAAGGAGAAGGACCUAGCCUUCGGGCAAGGAGCGUACACAGGUGCUGCAUGGCUGUCGUCAGCUCGUGUCGUGAGAUGUUGGGUUAAGUCCCGCAACGAGCGCAACCCCUGCAUCCAGUUACCAUCGAGUGAAGUCGGGGACUCUGGAUGGACUGCCAGCGACAAGCUGGAGGAAGGUGGGGAUGACGUCAAGUCAUCAUGGCCCUUAUGCCUAGGGCGACACACGUGCUACAAUGGCCGAUACAGCGGGAAGCUAGCCUGCGAAGGUAUGCGGAUCCCACAAAGUCGGUCUCAGUUCGGAUUGCAGUCUGCAACUCGACUGCAUGAAGGAGGAAUCGCUAGUAAUCGCGGAUCAGCCAAGCCGCGGUGAAUACGUUCCCGGGCCUUGUACACACCGCCCGUCACACCACCCGAGUUGGGUGCACCCGAAGCCGGAGGCUUAACCUUUCGAGGAAGGAUCCGUCUAAGGUGUGUCUGGUGAGGGGGGUGAAGUCGUAACAAGGUAGCCG